rnacentral:rRNA from 1 species
UACGAAGGGGGCUAGCGUUGCUCGGAAUUACUGGGCGUAAAGCGCACGUAGGCGGUCUUUUAAGUCGGGGGUGAAAUCCUGGAGCUCAACUCCAGAACUGCCUUCGAUACUGGAAGACUCGAGUCCGGGAGAGGUGAGUGGAACUGCGAGUGUAGAGGUGAAAUUCGUAGAUAUUCGCAAGAACACCAGUCGGCGAAGGCGGAC